CAGAGAUGUUGGGGCAGCAGGAAGAGGAAGUGAAUACACAGCCCAUGCUGGUUACCUGCUAGAGAGUCAUUCCCUAACACCUCCAAGUUUCUGGCCUGAGCUACUGCAGGGAUGUAACUGCAUUUCCUGAAUCAAAGCUGACAGCUUGGAGGGAUCAGAAGGCACUGAGGGGACAUAAAGGGAAAGAAGCAGAGAUGCUUGUAAAGGAAGGUGCUGCUCAAGAUGAAGGUGUCCUAAAGAAUGACCUAAAAAGACAUGGAGAUCAUUCUGCUCUUAGUUAUCUCAAGAAGCUCAAGCUUUGGAUAAAGAGACCUUUCCCAGGGGCAGAUGAACACAACAGCCUCUUCAAAAAGGGAAUGGACAAGCAGUAGAACAACAAGGGGGACCUCAGUCUGUCGACUGAUGUCAGGGAUGAGUCCCAACUGGAGGUCCACGCACCCACGUCCUCGCCUGCCACAACUUGGUGUUUAUAGGAGUAGAUUCAGUACCUGGGUAGGUAGUUCCAGUUGGUUGUUGUCCACUGUCCUAUGUUCCUGAAGCCUAUGUUCCUGAAGGCUCCACCAUCCCCUACACCCUCGCCCGUUCCACUGGGUAUCAAAUCAUCCUUUUAUCAAUGUUCGGCCGUUGGGUUCUCUCCCAUGCCUCUGUCAACCCCCCCCUCCCCAAGCACUCCCAUCCUGGAUUAUUGUUCCCCAUCUUUUUUUGGGGGGGGGGGGGGAAGGGGAAAAAAUAUAUAUUCGGUGAGGUCACUUUCUCCUUCACCUGUUCCUGUCUUUAUGGCAGCUCUUCAUGAGCCUCUUAUUGGGAUCAUUACAAUCCCCUUAUCCCACUGGGUCUGCCUUUUAGGGUCCCUUUUAGGGUCUUUACGGUACCUUUGUUCCGGAGUGCCCCUCUAUUAGGGUUUUCACGGUACCUUCCCCAGCCGGGCUCUGCUGGCUGCUGGCAAGAUUGCAAGCAGUCCCUGGUACUGCCAAUCCACCACACCUUCCUCUAAGUCUUCUCUGGGGAGCUCCCUCUCUGCAGGAGCCUCCUGCUGGCUCUCCAGGUUUUCCCACAAUGUUGCUCGACCUGGCUCCUCUCCUUCCGGUCCUGCGCUCUCCCCUCCUGCCUGCUCUGGGCUCUUCUUUAUAGUGAGGUUUGAAUUUCUGGCCCCUCCCCUCCAGAAACACCUGGUUAAGGAGUAUUUCUGCCAGGCUCUUUGGGGCUUUGGGGCUGGGGCAGCUGCUUCUAUCUUUGGCCAGUGCUCCUUUGCCCCCUGUGGCUCUCUCUCUCACAACAUACAGGCUAGGGAUUUCCCCUCUUGAAAGCACUAGGCAGAAUGGGAUCUUGGAUUCAUUAUUGACUCCAAGAUGCACAUGAGCUUGGACUGUGCAUGUGCCAGACUGCAUCUCAAGCUGGUCCAGAGAGGUGAUACUCCCCGCCAUGCGACUUUGGUCAGGCUGCAGUUGGAGUACUGCGUCCAGUACUAGGUGCCGCACUUCAAAAGGGAUAUGGCCAGCCUGGAGAGGGUUCAGAGGAGAGCCAUCCACUUGGUGAGAGGGCAGCAGGACAGGCCCUAUGAGGAGAAACUGAAGGACCUGAACCUGUUCAGCCUCAGCAAGAGGAGGCUGAGUGGAGUCCUGGUGGCUGCCUACAAACUCAUCAGGGGAGAUCAACAGCAAAUAGGCAGAGCCCUUUUCUCCCCGGCACCACCUGGGGUGAUGAGGAGCAAUGGUAAUAAGCUGAUCGAGAAUAGGUUUAGGUUAGAGAUCAGAAGGCAAUAUUUUACAGUUCGGGUGGCCAAAAUGUGGAAACAACUUCCCAGGGAAGUGGUCCUUGCCCCAACCUUGGGCAAAUUCAAGAGAAGAUUGGUUGAUCACCUGUCUGGGGUCUUGUGAACCCAGCAUUCAUUCCUUCCUGUGGCAGGGGUUCAGGCUAGAUGAUCUGUUCAGGUCCCUCCUGACCCUAGCUACUAUGAAACUAUCACUGUCACUCUGGUCUGUCACUGUCAGGUGAUAGGCUGCCCCCAAUCAAAAAUGAUCUAGUUUCAGCUCUAAUCACUGCCUCUCAGAUCCUGCCUGCCACCUCUGCAAUGAAUUAGCUCUUUGAGAAGAAUCUAUGAUGUACAGGACUCCAACUGAGUCUUUACCACCAAAAGAUUAAUUCCUGGAUGGAAUCUAUUUCCCCUUGCCAUUGCCCAAUGCUCCUUCUCCACAGUUGCUGUAAGCUGCAGCAUUGAUUAGGGUGACCUCUCAUUACAGGAACAUUGGCCAAAGUUCUCUUGGCUAUUUAUUAUUAAAUAUGAAUAAUAGAGUUGUAUUCCCUGAUGUUUUAAUAUAUUUUAACAAAAUUUUCUUAGUUACAUAGCACAAGUCUAAGUGAAGCUGGCCUGUGCAAUCAUUUCCUCAAGCUUGCCAACAUGUGCAAGCACAGAUCUUCCUCCCUGAUCCAUCUGGAGUUCUCAGGCAUGUCUACAUAACUCCUUUGUUCACUAACAGUUGUUGUUUGUUGGAGGUUUUCAAGAAGGGUUUGGAUAAGCAUUGGUCAGGGAUGAUGUAGGAGUAGCUGUGCCUGGAGUGGACUGCAAACAACAACAACAUCUAGAAGCCAAGGAUUCUCUGCUACACAGAUUACUGUGAGAUCAUAAGAAAAGCUCUGAAGCCCAGAGCAGGUGGAUAAUGAAGAGCUGUAUCUGUAGUUGUUGCUGCUAUCUA